rnacentral:rRNA from 1 species
AUUGAACGCUGGCGGCAGGCCUAACACAUGCAAGUCGAACGGUAGCAGGAGAAAGCUUGCUUUCUUGCUGACGAGUGGCGGACGGGUGAGUAAUGCUUGGGAAUCUGGCUUAUGGAGGGGGAUAACUACGGGAAACUGUAGCUAAUACCGCGUAGAAUCGGAAGAUGAAAGUGCGGGACCGCAAGGCCGCAUGCCAUGAGAUGAGCCCAAGUGGGAUUAGGUAGUUGGUGGGGUAAAGGCCUACCAAGCCUGCGAUCUCUAGCUGGUCUGAGAGGAUGGCCAGCCACACUGGAACUGAGACACGGUCCAGACUCCUACGGGAGGCAGCAGUGGGGAAUAUUGCGCAAUGGGGGGAACCCUGACGCAGCCAUGCCGCGUGAAUGAAGAAGGCCUUCGGGUUGUAAAGUUCUUUCGGUAUUGAGGAAGGUUGAUGUGAUAAUAGUACAUCAAAUUGACGUUAAAUACAGAAGAAGCACCGGCUAACUCCGUGC